AUGUUUCCCUGGUGUGUCAGACUGUUGCAAGGUGUGGUGGAACGCCUGGUGUCCUGUCAGUACCAGAAGUGUCAAGCCCAGUCCCGUCUGGCUGAGCUCCAGCAACAGACAGCAGAGCUGCCCCGUCACUUCCCCUGGCCUGGGCUGGGAGACCGGGGGCAGGCUGUGGAGACGGCCAGGACCCUGCUGGAUAAAACCAGGAACCUGGCCCCAGCCCUCUCUGUCCUCCACACCCAGGGCAAGGAAAUGUUCCAGCUUACCCAGGACCCCAGCUGGACAGACCUCUCCUGGGCCACCAUGGAGGAAUGCAUCCCUGCCCUUCUCAAAGAACUGACGGAGGCCUGUGUGAGGAUGGAGGAGGGCAUCCACAUGGAGAGGCACUGUGCCCAGCUAGUGGAACAGCAUGGGGCAGCCCAGGACUGGCUGAGGGAGCAUGUGAAGGGUCUGGGCCCGCAGCCCACAGACAGACAGGCUCUACACAGCUACGCCAACACCCUGAAGGCCCUGCUCCAGACUGUCGACAGGGAGGAGAGGGAGAUGAGGGAGCUGGACGCAAUCCGAGACACCCUGCUGAGCCGCUGCACCCCUGCCGGUCGGGAUACCCUGACCCUGGAGGUCAGCCACCUCCAGGACCUCCUCACUUCUUCUGAGAGAGAGAUGAGGGAAAGGCUGGCAGGCUGCGAGGCCCAGCUGAAGGAGCUGGAUGCGAAGAUGGCCAAGAAGGCCCAGGGCCUGAGGGAGAGGGCCAAAGCACUGCAGUGGGAGCUCCGUUCUCUGGACCAGGCCCUGAGCUACAGCGAGCCACACCCCAACAUAGCCCAGCUCCAGCAGCACUGGCACAGCCUCAAGGUACCUCCGCUGCUUCAAAUGACUCUGCUCUGUUUGGCACUGUACUACUGCCCUGGAUCAAUGCAUGAUCAUUUAGUUCCCAUAUUAAGAUAUUUCUUUUUAAACAACUUAAAAGAAUCAAUGUACACAAUCUGUGGGAAAUUUGCAACAAAGUAAAUACAAAUCAAUUAUAGUUCUAUAUCGCUCAGAGACUCUAACCUGAGUUUUACACUUGUGAUUUCUGCACCCUUUAGAACUGCGAGAGGUCGUUGGAGGGGUUAGGGCUUAAAGUUCAUGACCUGCGUCAGGCUGCCAGAUCUGCAUCCACAGAGGAGGACCUUCCCGCUGAAGUCAUCUCCAUAAUGGAGUUACUGAGCCAGCAGCACGACAGGUACUAGACUUGGCAUCCCAAACAUUCAGCUCAUUUAUCAAACUGUGCAGUGCACAGAACCUCUUCCUGUUGCUCUCCAAGUUUAAACUCAGCUGGCUCUCUUCCAUUUCAAUUUCAGUUUUAAUUGUUAUUACUCCCUUAUAUCAUAGAUAACGGAACAUGCUGAUCUUUCUUUGUAGUUUGAGGGGUAGCAAGUUGCAAAAGAUAGAGACAUGGAAUUCUUAUAUACAUGAGUAGCUGGGAUGUUUAGUAUAGUAGCUAUUAACUAAUCUAAGAGAUUGUAUCAGCUUGUACAUAUGAAUAUCCUGUCAGUGUGCUGAUGCUAUUCUCUCUCUCUCUCUCUCUCACUCUCACUCUGUGUGUAGUCUGAAGACCAGGUUGGGUGAGAGGCAGAGCUGCUGCACUGAGAACACAGCUCACUGCCUCACAGCCUCUGUUCAGCUUCUGCAGCAGUGGAACCACUCCUCACACACACGGACAGCCCCCUCCAUCCAGGUUAUAGCACAGGCCUCUCAAUCAAACAGAAUGAAUGUUGAUAUGAUGAAGUUUAAAGUCUUCAAUAUAUCUAAAUCGAUAUUUAAUUCGGUUUGUGUCAGCUUUUGUACUUUCAUUGCACAAUCUAGUUUUAUGAGCAUCACAUGCAAUACAAUUGAAAGUUUCCCAGUAAUGUUGGUGUCAAUAUCGGGUGUAUGAGAGGCGAAGUCAGGUGCAGGAGAGAAGCGAAAUAUAACCAAGCGCACUUUAUUAUAGUUCCAAAAUACGAGAGCAUUACAUAAAUAUAAAUGCGCUCAAAACCACGGAACAUAACCAAAGUAAAGCGCGUAAAUCAAACACCACGAAAACAUGAAACAAUUACACACAAAACAUGAUGGGAAACAGAGGGUUAAAUACAAGUAGAUUGAUUGGGGAAAUGAAAACCAGGUGUGUAUGGAAACAAGACAAGACAAAUGGAUAUAUGAAAAAUGGAGCGGCGAUGGCUAGAAAGCCAGUGACGUCGAUCGCGGAACUUCACCCGAACAAGGAGAGGAGCCGACUUCGGCGGAAGUCGUGACAGUUAGCUACCUGGGUAUUGGGAGCAAAUUAUUGGAACUGUAGAGGGAACACAAUAUUCCUGUAUGCCAUGCUGAAGUAAUUGCCAGGGUGCAUAAGUGUGUCGAUGUUUUGAAUUUGGUCAUUAUUUCCAAUUAUUACAGGAACAUUAUCAAGGACUUUAUUUAGUGCCUAUGGGUACAUCCUGUAAUACGUGACGUAGGUCCACUCACUGUGGUCCAUUUGCUAGAUUGUUGAAACAACAUGAAUCAGAGCUAGUGAGGUCAGGGAUAUAAACUAUUCCAAGAACUCAGAGUUUUUGAGUAAACAUGGAAACACUCAUCACUCACUGAUGGUAGAACAUGUGACAGUGGUUCUUCCUGCUUCAGGCUGCAUUAGAGGAGGGUGUGCAGUUCCAAAAGGCCCUGAAGGAGGUGCUGUCUCACAGACAGUUCCUGGUGGACUGCCUGAAGCCUGACCAAGCAGACAGACUGGAGAAAGACACCACUGCAACACUCAGGGAUGCAGACACACACAGCACCUUUCUCACCAAGACUCUGAAAGUGAGAACUUUACCGAUCCCCAACCAGCCCAUUGUUAAACUGCUUAAUGCAACAACAUUUUGUAUUCAUAUUU
rnacentral:lncRNA from 8 species